rnacentral:lncRNA from 1 species
UCAGGCGCAUCAAUUUACUCACCAUCAUGAGCCAUUAUUAUGUCUCUGACAAAAUAGGGCAAUAAACAUGUAAAAACAAAAACAAAAAACAUUAUUCGAGUAUUAUUUAUUUUCAUAAAAUAUGUCUUUUAUAUUCUUUUACCAAUUUUUUUUUAUUUUACGGCUGAGAUAUGAAUAAUAAUUCAAAAUAAUUGGUUGAGGCGGUAAAAUGCAUGUUUAUUAUGUUAUGCUAAAUAACAUUUUCGUUAUUGUUGAUUUGCAUUAUUGUACAUUUCUUUUUCGUUUGCUAAAUAUCUAGCUCUUGUAGGUCCAUUUUGUUGUUCAGAGCAUGUCUUUAGAUAAUGCUAGAUUUGUUUGUUUCCUCCUUUGAAAAUUGUAACAUAUUCUGAUUUUAUUGUUUUUCUUUAAAAGAACUGGUGGUAGGUUUUACAAAAGUGAAAACCUAGU